rnacentral:rRNA from 1 species
UACAGAGGGUGCGAGCGUUAAUCGGAAUUAUUGGGCGUAAAGCGCACGUAGGCGGCGCUGCAAGUCCCAUGUGAAAUCCCACGGCUCAACCGUGGAAGUGCAUGGGAAACUGCAGUGCUUGAGUACUUAAGAGGAUCGCGGAAUUCCCGGUGUAGAGGUGAAAUUCGUAGAUAUCGGGAGGAACACCAGUGGCGAAGGCGGCGAUCUGGGAAGAUACUGACGCUGAGGUGCGAAAGCGUGGGGAGCAAACAGG